rnacentral:rRNA from 1 species
CUUGACAUCCAGAGAUUUAGCAGAGAUGCUUUAGUGCCUUCGGGAACUCUGAGACAGGUGCUGCAUGGCUGUCGUCAGCUCGUGUUGUGAAAGUGUUGGGUUAAGUCCGCAACGAGCGCAACCCUUAUCCUUUGUUGCCAGCACGUAAUGGUGGGAACUCAAAGGAGACUGCCGGUGAUAAACCGGAGGAAGGUGGGGAUGACGUCAAGUCAUCAUGGCCCUUACGAGUAGGGCUACACACGUGCUACAAUGGCGCAUACAAAGAGAAGCGACCCCGCGAGAGCAAGCGGACCUCAUAAAGUGCGUCGUAGUCCGGAUUGGAGUCUGCAACUCGACUCCAUGAAGUCGGAAUCGCUAGUAAUCGUAAAUCAGAAUGUUACGGUGAAUACGUUCCCGGGCCUUGUACACACCGCCCGUCACACCAUGGGAGUGGGUUGCAAAAGAAGUAGAUAGCUUAACCUUCGGGAGGGCGUUUACCACUUUGUGAUUCAUGACUGGGGUGAAGUCGUAACAAGGUAAGCGUAGUGCU